rnacentral:rRNA from 1 species
UACGAAGGGAGCUAGCGUUGUUCGGAAUUACUGGGCGUAAAGGGCGCGUAGGCGGCUAUGUAAGUCAGAUGUGAAAGCCCCGGGCUCAACCUGGGAACUGCAUUUGAUACUGCAAGGCUAGAGAUCGAGAGAGGAAAGUGGAAUUACGAGUGUAGAAGUGAAAUUCGUAGAUAUUCGUAGGAACACCAGUGGCGAAGGCGACUUUCUGGCUCGAUACUGACGCUAAAGCGCGAAAGCGUGGGGAGCAAACAGGAUUAGAUACCCUGGUAGUCCACGCUGUAAACGAUGAGUGCUAGAUGUUAGGAGGGUAACCUUUUAGUGUCGCAGCUAACGCAAUAAGCACUCCGCCUGGGGAGUACGGUCGCAAGAUUA